UGAGGAAUAUUGCACAAUGGGCGAAAGCCUGAUGCAGCAACGCCGCGUGGGCGAUGAAGGCCUUCGGGUCGUAAAGCCCUUUUCUGAGGGAAGAGGAAGGACGGUACCUCAGGAAUAAGCCUCGGCUAACUACGUGCCAGCAGCCGCGGUAAAACGUAGGAGGCAAGCGUUAUUCGGAUUUACUGGGCGUAAAGCGCGUGCAGGCGGCUCUGCAAGUCGGAUGUGAAAUCUCUCGGCUUAACUGGGAGGCGUCGUUCGAAACUGCGGGGCUUGAGGUUGGGAGAGGAGAGUGGAAUUCCCGGUGUAGUGGUGGAAUGCGUAGAUAUCGGGAGGAACACCAGUGGCGAAAGCGGCUCUCUGGCCCACACCUGACGCUGAGACGCGAAAGCGUGGGGAGCGAACAGG
rnacentral:rRNA from 1 species